UACGAAGGGGGCUAGCGUUGUUCGGAUUUACUGGGCGUAAAGCGCACGUAGGCGGAUCGUUAAGUCGGGGGUGAAAUCCUGGAGCUCAACUCCAGAACUGCCUUCGAUACUGGCGAUCUUGAGUCCGGAAGAGGUGAGUGGAACUCCUAGUGUAGAGGUGAAAUUCGUAGAUAUUGGGAAGAACACCGGUGGCGAAGGCGGCGACCUGGUCCUUUACUGACGCUGAGGCGCGAAAGCGUGGGGAGCAAACAGG
rnacentral:rRNA from 1 species